rnacentral:rRNA from 1 species
AGCGAACGUUAGCGGCGCGCCUAACACAUGCAAGUCGCACGAGAAAGGGCUUCGGCCCCGGUAAAGUGGCGCACGGGUGCGUAACACGUAGGCAAUCUUCCCUCGGGCGGGGGAUAACGUUUCGAAAGAGACGCUAAUACCGCAUAAGACCACGAGCAGUUCGCUGCUUGCGGUCAAAGCUGGCCUCUUCUUGAAAGCUAGCACCUGAGGACGAGCCUGCGGCCCAUCAGCUAGUUGGUAGGGUAAUGGCCUACCAAGGCGAAGACGGGUAGCUGGUCUGAGAGGAUGAUCAGCCACACUGGAACUGAAACACGGUCCAGACUCCUACGGGAGGCAGCAGUGGGGAAUAUUGGACAAUGGGCGAAAGCCUGAUCCAGCGACGCCGCGUGAGUGAUGAAGGCCUUCGGGUUGUAAAGCUCUGUUGAGGGAGAAGAAAACAGUUAGGGCGAAUAGGCCUAGCUCUUGACGGUAUCCCUUUAGAAAGCACCGGCUAACUCUGUGCCAGCCGCCGCCGUAAAAC